UCGCAUGGAUACCGGAGCUGGGGAAUAGGUGCGCACUGAUUAUUAUGGGCGGUAUUUAAGGGGCUUGGCCUGGAGGUUGGCACAUGCCUGGUUUCCUUCGGGGAGAACAGUCCUUGUUUCGUCGUGGGAUUUGGCGUGGAAGGCCGAAGACUAUCGCGUGGUGAGUGCGUUGUGCCUAUCUGGUAGUUUUGGCUGCUUUGAUGACCUUUUUCUGACUGCGUAAUUCGCUUGCUCUGCAGUGUAUCCAAACGGUGCUUUGGUGCCUCGGUUGCCAGAGGGGUUGCGUUGCCCUGUGGGAAGCUGCCAGCUGACUCGUGGGGUGGCUAGCUUUGUGGCAGUGUCUCUGGAUGCUAGCAGCGGAAUGUGGCGCGUUUGUGUUCGGAGCUCACAAUGGAUAGUGGCCUUGUAGAACCAUCUCCAGCCUAACGAUCUGCGGCUACUUGGAGAUUCUGUCCCUCGACUUCCCACGGCGUC